UCGUCACACUAUCAUUAACUGAAUCCAUAGGUUAAUGAGGCGAACCGGGGGAACUGAAACAUCUAAGUACCCCGAGGAAAAGAAAUCAACCGAGAUUCCCCCAGUAGCGGCGAGCGAACGGGGAGGAGCCCAGAGCCUGAAUCAGCAUGUGUGUUAGUGGAAGCGUCUGGAAAGGCGCGCGAUACAGGGUGACAGCCCCGUACACAAAAGCGCAUGUGCUGUGAGCUCGAUGAGUAGGGCGGGACACGUGGUAUCCUGUCUGAAUAUGGGGGGACCAUCCUCCAAGGCUAAAUACUCCUGACUGACCGAUAGUGAACCAGUACCGUGAGGGAAAGGCGAAAAGAACCCCGGCGAGGGGAGUGAAAAAGAACCUGAAACCGUGUACGUACAAGCAGUGGGAGCACCCUUCGGGGUGUGACUGCGUACCUUUUGUAUAAUGGGUCAGCGACUUAUAUUCUGUAGCAAGGUUAACCGAAUAGGGGAGCCGCAGGGAAACCGAGUCUUAAUUGGGCGUUAAGUUGCAGGGUAUAGACCCGAAACCCGGUGAUCUAGCCAUGGGCAGGUUGAAGGUUGGGUAACACUAACUGGAGGACCGAACCGACUAAUGUUGAAAAAUUAGCGGAUGACCUGUGGCUGGGGGUGAAAGGCCAAUCAAACCGGGAGAUAGCUGGUUCUCCCCGAAAGCUAUUUAGGUAGCGCCUCGUGAAUUCAUCUCCGGGGGUAGAGCACUGUUUCGGCUAGGGGGCCAUCCCGGCUUACCAACCCGAUGCAAACUGCGAAUACCGGAGAAUGUUAUCACGGGAGACACACGGCGGGUGCUAACGUCCGUCGUGAAGAGGGAAACAACCCAGACCGCCAGCUAAGGUCCCAAAGUCAUGGUUAAGUGGGAAACGAUGUGGGAAGGCCCAGACAGCCAGGAUGUUGGCUUAGAAGCAGCCAUCAUUUAAAGAAAGCGUAAUAGCUCACUGGUCGAGUCGGCCUGCGCGGAAGAUGUAACGGGGCUAAACCAUGCACCGAAGCUGCGGCAGCGANNUGCUGGAGGUAUCAGAAGUGCGAAUGCUGACAUAAGUAACGAUAAAGCGGGUGAAAAGCCCGCUCGCCGGAAGACCAAGGGUUCCUGUCCAACGUUAAUCGGGGCAGGGUGAGUCGACCCCUAAGGCGAGGCCGAAAGGCGUAGUCGAUGGGAAACGGGUUAAUAUUCCCGUACUUGGUGUUACUGCGAAGGGGGGACGGAGAAGGCUAUGUUGGCCGGGCGACGGUUGUCCCGGUUUAAGCGUGUAGGUGUGUGUUCCAGGUAAAUCCGGUUCACUUUAACACUGAGGCGUGAUGACGAGGCACUACGGUGCUGAAGCAACAAAUGCCCUGCUUCCAGGAAAAGCCUCUAAGCAUCAGGUAACACGAAAUCGUACCCCAAACCGACACAGGUGGUCAGGUAGAGAAUACCAAGGCGCUUGAGAGAACUCGGGUGAAGGAACUAGGCAAAAUGGUGCCGUAACUUCGGGAGAAGGCACGCUGACACGUAGGUGAAGUGAUUUACUCAUGGAGCUGAAGUCAGUCGAAGAUACCAGCUGGCUGCAACUGUUUAUUAAAAACACAGCACUGUGCAAACACGAAAGUGGACGUAUACGGUGUGACGCCUGCCCGGUGCCGGAAGGUUAAUUGAUGGGGUCAGCGCAAGCGAAGCUCCUGAUCGAAGCCCCGGUAAACGGCGGCCGUAACUAUAACGGUCCUAAGGUAGCGAAAUUCCUUGUCGGGUAAGUUCCGACCUGCACGAAUGGCGUAAUGAUGGCCAGGCUGUCUCCACCCGAGACUCAGUGAAAUUGAACUCGCUGUGAAGAUGCAGUGUACCCGCGGCAAGACGGAAAGACCCCGUGAACCUUUACUAUAGCUUGACACUGAACAUUGAGCCUUGAUGUGUAGGAUAGGUGGGAGGCUUUGAAGUGUGGACGCCAGUCUGCAUGGAGCCGACCUUGAAAUACCACCCUUUAAUGUUUGAUGUUCUAACGUGGACCCGUAAUCCGGGUUGCGGACAGUGUCUGGUGGGUAGUUUGACUGGGGCGGUCUCCUCCUAAAGAGUAACGGAGGAGCACGAAGGUUGGCUAAUCCUGGUCGGACAUCAGGAGGUUAGUGCAAUGGCAUAAGCCAGCUUGACUGCGAGCGUGACGGCGCGAGCAGGUGCGAAAGCAGGUCAUAGUGAUCCGGUGGUUCUGAAUGGAAGGGCCAUCGCUCAACGGAUAAAAGGUACUCCGGGGAUAACAGGCUGAUACCGCCCAAGAGUUCAUAUCGACGGCGGUGUUUGGCACCUCGAUGUCGGCUCAUCACAUCCUGGGGCUGAAGUAGGUCCCAAGGGUAUGGCUGUUCGCCAUUUAAAGUGGUACGCGAGCUGGGUUUAGAACGUCGUGAGACAGUUCGGUCCCUAUCUGCCGUGGGCGCUGGAGAACUGAGGGGGGCUGCUCCUAGUACGAGAGGACCGGAGUGGACGCAUCACUGGUGUUCGGGUUGUCAUGCCAAUGGCACUGCCCGGUAGCUAAAUGCGGAAGAGAUAAGUGCUGAAAGCAUCUAAGCACGAAACUUGCCCCGAGAUGAGUUCUCCCUGAGACUUAGAGUCUCCUGAAGGAACGUUGAAGACGACGACGUUGAUAGGCCGGGUGUGUAAGCGCAGCGAUGCGUUGAGCUAACCGGUACUAAUGAACCGUGAGGCUUAACCUUACAACGCCGAAG
rnacentral:rRNA from 1 species